UUUCCGUAGGUGAACCUGCGGAAGGAUCAUUACCGAGUGAGGGCCCUCUGGGUCCAACCUCCCACCCGUGUUUAUUAUACCUUGUUGCUUUGGCGGGCCCGCCUCACGGCCGCCGGGGGGCUUCUGCCCCCGGGCCCGUGCCAGCCGAAGACACCUUAGAACUCUGUCUGAAGAUUGUAGUCUGAGUAAAAAUAUAAAUUAUUUAAAACUUUCAACAACGGAUCUCUUGGUUCCG
rnacentral:misc_RNA from 1 species